ACGCUCUGGUUUCUCUUCAGAAUGAAUAAAUCUUUCGCCUUUUGCUAAAGAUUUCUGUGGAGAGGAACAAUUAUGAGUUUAUAGCCAAAUUUUUUGAUGUCCUACUUAGGCAGGGCU
ensembl:snRNA U5 U5 spliceosomal RNA